GUAGGUGGCAAGCGUUGUCCGGAAUUAUUGGGCGUAAAGCGCGCGCAGGCGGUUCUUUAAGUCUGAUGUGAAAGCCCACGGCUCAACCGUGGAGGGUCAUUGGAAACUGGAGAACUUGAGUACAGAAGAGGAAAGCGGAAUUCCACGUGUAGCGGUGAAAUGCGUAGAGAUGUGGAGGAACACCAGUGGCGAAGGCGGCUUUCUGGUCUGUAACUGACGCUGAGGCGUGAAAGCGUGGGGAGCAAACAGGGAUUAGAUACCCUGGUAGUCCACGCCGUAAACGAUGAGUGCUAAGUGUUAGGGGGUUUCCCGCCCCUUAGUGCUGCAGCUAACGCAUUAAGCACUCCGCCUGGGGAGUACGGCCGCAAGGCUG
rnacentral:rRNA from 1 species